rnacentral:rRNA from 1 species
GAUGAACGCUAGCGAUAGGCUUAACGCAUGCAAGUCGAGGGGCAGCAUGGUCUUAGCUUGCUAAGACUGAUGGCGACCGGCGCACGGGUGCGUAACGCGUAUGCAACUUGCCUCACAGAGGGGGAUAACCCGUCGAAAGACGGACUAAUACCGCGUACACUCUAUUUUGGGCAUCCAAGGUAGAGGAAAUGAAAUUCGCUGUGAGAUAGGCAUGCGUCCCAUUAGCUAGUUGGUGAGGUAACGGCUCACCAAGGCGACGAUGGGUAGGGGAACUGAGAGGUUGAACCCCCACACUGGUACUGAGACACGGACCAGACUCCUACGGGAGGCAGCAGUGAGGAAUAUUGGUCAAUGGGCGAGAGCCUGAACCAGCCAAGUCGCGUGAAGGAUGACUGUCUUAUGGAUUGUAAACUUCUUUUGUAGGGGAAUAAAGAGGGGCACGUGUGCCCCAGUGAAUGUACCCUACGAAUAAGCAUCGGCUAACUCCGUG